AGUGAACGCUGGCGGUAGGCCUAACACAUGCAAGUCGAACGGCAGCACAGGAGAGCUUGCUCUCUGGGUGGCGAGUGGCGGACGGGUGAGGAAUACAUCGGAAUCUACUUUUUCGUGGGGGAUAACGUAGGGAAACUUACGCUAAUACCGCAUACGACCUACGGGUGAAAGCAGGGGACCUUCGGGCCUUGCGCGAUUGAAUGAGCCGAUGUCGGAUUAGCUAGUUGGCGGGGUAAAGGCCCACCAAGGCGACGAUCCGUAGCUGGUCUGAGAGGAGGAUCAGCCACACUGGAACGGAGACACGGUCCAGACUCCUACUGGAUGCAGCAGUGGGGAAUAUUGGACAAUGGGCGCAAGCCUGAUCCAGCCAUACCGCGUGGGUGAAGAAGGCCUUCGGGUUGUAAAGCCCUUUUGUUGGGAAAGAAAUCCAGCUGGUUAAUACCCGGUUGGGAUGACGGUACCCAAAGAAUAAGCACCGGCUAACUUCGUGCCAGCCGCCGCCGUAA
rnacentral:rRNA from 1 species